rnacentral:tRNA from 1 species
GUCCUAGUAGUAUAACCCAUUACCCCGGCCUUGUAAGCCAGAAACGGAGAACCCCUUCUCCCUAGGACC